UACGUAGGGUGCGAGCGUUGUCCGGAAUUAUUGGGCGUAAAGAGCUCGUAGGCGGUUUGUCGCGUCGGCCGUGAAAACUUGGGGCUUAACCCCAAGCCUGCGGUCGAUACGGGCAGACUUGAGUUCGGCAGGGGAGACUGGAAUUCCAGGUGUAGCGGUGAAAUGCGUAGAUAUCUGGAGGAAUACCGGUGGCGAAGGCGGCAUCCUGGACCGACAUUGACGCUGAUGAGCGAAAGCUAGGGGAGCAAACGGG
rnacentral:rRNA from 1 species